rnacentral:rRNA from 1 species
UGGGGAAUAUUGCACAAUGGGCGCAAGCCUGAUGCAGCCAUGCCGCGUGUAUGAAGAAGGCCUUCGGGUUGUAAAGUACUUUCAGCGAGGAGGAAGGCAUUAAGGCUAAUAACCUUAGUGAUUGACGUUACUCGCAGAAGAAGCACCGGCUAGCUCCGUGCCAGCAGCCGCGGUAAUACGGAGGGUGCAAGCGUUAAUCGGAAUUACUGGGCGUAAAGCGUACGCAGGCGGUCUGUCAAGUCGGAUGUGAAAUCCCCGGGCUCAACCUGGGAACUGCAUUCGAAACUGGCAGGCUAGAGUCUUGUAGAGGGGGUAGAAUUCCAGGUGUAGCGGUGAAAUUGCGUAGAGAUCUGGAGGAAUACCGGUGGCGAAGGCGGCCCCCUGGACAAAGACUGACGCUCAGGUGCGAAAGCGUGGGAGCAAACA